UAAUACGGGGGGAGCAAGCGUUGUUCGGAAUUACUGGGCGUAAAGGGCUCGUAGGCGGCCAACUAAGUCAUACGUGAAAUCCCUCAGCUUAACUGGGGAACUGCGUGUGAUACUGGAUGGCUUGGAUUUGGGAGAGGGAUGCGGAAUUCCAGGUGUAGCGGUGAAAUGCGUAGAUAUCUGGAGGAACACCGGUGGCGAAGGCGGCAUCCUGGACCAAUAUUGACGCUGAGGAGCGAAAGCCAGGGGAGCAAACGGGAUUAGAUACCCCGGUAGUCCUGGCCCUAAACGAUGAAUGCUUGGUGUAGCGGGUAUCGAUCCCUGCUGUGCCGAAGCUAACGCAUUAAGCAUUCCGCCUGGGGAGUACGGUCGCAAGGCUG
rnacentral:rRNA from 1 species